CCUACGGGUGGCUGUAGUGGGGAAUAUUGGGCAAUGGGCGCAAGCCUGACCCAGCGACGCCGCGUGAAGGAAGAAGGCUUUCGGGUUGUAAACUUCUUUUGACAGGGAAGAGCAGAAGACGGUACUUGUCGAAUAAGCCACGGCUAACUACGGGCCAGCAGCCGCGGUAAUAGGUAGGUGGCAGGCGUUGUCCGGAUUUACUGGGGGUAAAGGGCGUGUGGCCGGGCUGACAAUUCAGAUGUGAAAUCCGGGGGCUCAACCCCCGAACUGCAUUUGAAACUGUUGGUCUUGAGUAUCGGAGAGGCAGGCGGAAUUCCUAGUGUAGCGGUGAAAUGCGUAGAUAUUAGGAGGAACACCAGUGGCGAAGGCGGCCUGCUGGACGACAACUGACGGUGAGGCGCGAAAGCGUGGGGAGCAAACAGGAUUAGAUACCCGGGUAGUC
rnacentral:rRNA from 1 species